rnacentral:misc_RNA from 1 species
GCCCUCCUCUAUAGUUUCCAUUCUCUCUUUUUCCCUCUUCUUUCUCUCUCAAAUCUCUCCAUCUCUUUCAGCUGAAAGAUGUCACCCAAAUGACAAAAAAGCCCUCCUAGAAUUCAAAAAAGCUCUAGGUAAUCCUGAUGAUUUGAGUAAUUGGAAUCCCAAAACUGAUUGCUGCAUUGACUGGUACGGACCUACUCUCGAAUGCGAUGAAAAAUCGAAUCGGAUUAAUCUCAUCGACUUCUCCAAAAUGAAUCUCUCUGGAUAUCUCUCUCCCGCCAUCGGAGAUCUCACAUACCUUACGAAAUUCAGUAUCCACAAUGUCCGUAAUCUCACCGGUCCAAUUCCAUCAACAAUUGUUAAGCUCACGAAUCUCAUUUUCUUCAGAAUUAGUGAAUCGGACAUUUCAGGACCAGUACCUGAAGUCCUUAGUCGAUUGAAAAGCUUAACGUACAUUAAUCUGUCGUAUAAUAAGCUUGUUGGAACUAUCCCAGCCUCGCUAUCACAACUUCCAUAUUUGGAAUUUUUACGAUUAGAUAGGAACAAAUUAACUGGACCAAUACCGGAGUCAUUUGGCAAAUUAGCUCCCAAUUUAACGUAUCUUUACCUUGGGCAUAACCAACUUACAGGGAUUGUACCAACUUCAUUUGCUGGGUGGAGUUUUGACACAAUUGAUCUGUCAAGGAACAUGCUUGAAGGGGAUAUUUCGUUUUUGUUUGGUAAAGAUAAG